GAGGGGUUUCCUCAUUUUUCCAACUCUGAACUAAUUUCCAGUUUUCCUUUCUCUCUCUAAAAACUCAGUUCCACUUCUCUUCUUCUUGCUCUGACUUCUCUCUACCUUUCCACCGUUUAAAUUUCGAUUAGGUGGUGUUCUUUCGCUCACGGAGUUGAGGGCUUCCUAUCCAUCCGAUUAGUUUUCGAUUUGAACGGGUUCUGUCAAGUUCUGCUCUGUGUGGAGGGGACGGUUAGGGCACUCCAGUAGGAUAUACUGCUCGACUUCAAGGAGAAGAUUCAUGGUGGUGCAGUAGUGUUUAGAAUGAUCUACAGGGAAGCUCAGUCUUAGGGGUUAUCCUGACGCUCAAAUGGUCUUUCAUUCUAAAGUAGAGAGGAUUGAACCAUGUGGUGAGGAGUAGCAAGAGGUCUUAGUCUUGGGGGCUUCCAGUAUGCCUCAAGGCCCGGAACAGGCUAACCUCGUGAGUAUGGUAGGGUGGGGAACCCGAGUUUCAUAAGCCACCACGAGUGCAUGACCCGCCAUAACUCGGUAAUCAUUCUAAGUUCGGACGAGUCAGGUCUAGUUCAUGACAUGUUUCUUGAUGAAGAGGAGGUAUCUAUGGAACAAGCGCUGGAAGAUGGUGAUGUUGCAACUUAGUAUGCUUAGGAUUUGGAUUAGUACAACUAUUCUGUCUUUAGAAAAUUUCCAGUGGUCCUUUGUGUUUAAGAGACCAACUCUGAUCUUAUUUUGGAUUAGUACAACUAUUCUGUCUUUAGAAAAUUUCCAGUGGUCCUUUGUGUUUAAGAGACCAACUCUGAUCUUAUUUUGGAUGACUGUAACUCAUAUAAUCUACCUUAUGUCUGUAAUUGCUUUCCAAUAUUAUGACUGCAUGACGUCUUUAUCAUA